UACGUAGGGGGCUAGCGUUGUCCGGAAUCAUUGGGCGUAAAGCGCAUGUAGGCGGCAGCGCAAGUCGGGCGUGAAAUCCCACGGCUCAACCGUGGAAGUGCACUCGAAACUGCGCAGCUAGAGUCCUGGAGAGGAAGGUGGAAUGCUUGGUGUAGAGGUGAAAUUCGUAGAUAUCAAGCGGAAACACCGGUGGCGAAGGCGGCCUUACUGG
rnacentral:rRNA from 1 species